rnacentral:rRNA from 1 species
UACGGGGGGGGCAAGCGUUGUUCGGAAUUACUGGGCGUAAAGGGCUCGUAGGUGGCCAACUAAGUCAGACGUGAAAUCCCUCGGCUUAACCGGGGAACUGCGUCUGAUACUGGAUGGCUUGAGUUUGGGAGAGGGAUGCGGAAUUCCAGGUGUAGCGGUGAAAUGCGCAGAUAUCAGGAGGAACACCGGUGGCGAAGGCGGAUCUCUGGGCCAUUACUGACGCUGAGGAGCGAAAGCGUGGGGAGCGAACAGG